GUCCCACAUUCAGUGCUGUACAAUGGUCAAAUUACCGGAAUCAUCUUAGUGGUCUCCCCACAUGCCAAACACCUCGUGAGAACGAUGAAAAAAUCGUUCAUUCACGAAACAUUUGAUUUGAGCGCAAAAAUUUGCUUCCGUGCGAUCGACGACAGCCAAAAGAACGAUGAAACCUUGGAACAAAGUCCGACUUUACAAAACAAAGUGCUUCUCGAU
rnacentral:rRNA from 1 species